rnacentral:rRNA from 1 species
GAAUUCGCCCUUAGAGUUUGAUCCUGGCUCAGGAUGAACGCUGGCGGCGUGCCUAACACUUGCAAGUCGAACGGAGUUGAAAGGAGCUUGCUUUUUUCAACUCAGUGGCGGACGGGUGAGUAACGCGUGAGUAACCUGCCUUUCAGAGGGGGAUAACGUUCUGAAAAGAACGCUAAUACCGCAUAAGAUUGUAGCUUCGCAUGGAGCAGCAAUCAAAGGAGCAAUCCGCUGAAAGAUGGACUCGCGUCCGAUUAGAUAGUUGGCGGGGUAACGGCCCACCAAGUCGACGAUCGGUAGCCGGACUGAGAGGUUGAUCGGCCACAUUGGGACUGAGACACGGCCCAGACUCCUACGGGAGGCAGCAGUGAGGGAUAUUGGGCAAUGGGGGAAACCCUGACCCAGCAACGCCGCGUGAGGGAUGACGGUUUUCGGAUUGUAAACCUCUGUCCUCUGUGAAGAUAGUGACGGUAGCAGAGGAGGAAGCUCCGGCUAACUACGUGCCAGCAGCCGCGGUAAUACGUAGGGAGCAAGCGUUGUCCGGAUUUACUGGGUGUAAAGGGUGCGUAGGCGGAUUGGCAAGUCAGAAGUGAAAUCCAUGGGCUUAACCCAUGAACUGCUUUUGAAACUGUUAGUCUUGAGUGAAGUAGAGGUAGGCGGAAUUCCCGGUGUAGCGGUGAAAUGCGUAGAGAUCGGGAGGAACACCAGUGGCGAAGGCGGCCUACUGGGCUUUAACUGACGCUGAGGCACGAAAGUGUGGGUAGCAAACAGGAUUAGAUACCCUGGUAGUCCACACUGUAAACGAUG